rnacentral:tRNA from 1 species
GCUGGAGUGGCGGAAUGGUAGACGCACAGGACUUAAAAUCCUGUUACAGCAAUGUAGUAAGGGUUCAAGUCCCUUCUCCAGCA